UGGUUCCUCUACGAUCACCGAAGUUAAGCAACGUCGAGCCUGGUCAGUAACUAGAUGGGUAACCGCUUGGGAAUACCAGGUGCUGUAA